AACGAACGCUGGCGGCAGGCUUAACACAUGCAAGUCGAACGCCCCGCAAGGGGAGUGGCAGACGGGUGAGUAACACGUGGGAACAUGCCCAAAGGUACGGAAUAUUCUCGGGAAACUGGGAGCAAUACCGUAUGUGCCCGAAAGGGGAAAGAUUUAUCGCCUUUGGAUUGGCCCGCGUCAGAUUAGGUAGUUGGUGGGGUAAUGGCCUACCAAGCCGGCGAUCUGUAGCUGGUCUGAGAGGACGACCAGCCACACUGGGACUGAGACACGGCCCAGACUCCUACGGGAGGCAGCAGUGGGGAAUCUUGGACAAUGGGCGCAAGCCUGAUCCAGCCAUGCCGCGUGGAUGAUGAAGGCCCUAGGGUUGUAAAAUCCUUUCGUUGGGGACGAUAAUGACGGUACCCAAAGAAGAAGCUCCGGCUAACUUCGUGCCAGCAGCCGCGGUAA
rnacentral:rRNA from 1 species